rnacentral:rRNA from 1 species
AGAGUUUGAUCAUGGCUCAGAGCGAACGUUAGCGGCGGGCUUAACACAUGCAAGUCGAACGAGAAAGUCCCCUUCGGGGGGCGAGUAAAGUGGCGCACGGGUGAGUAACACGUGGGUAACCUACCCUUUGGCGCGGGACAACAGCUCGAAAGGGCUGCUAAUACCGUAUAAGUCGGCGUCUUCUUCGGAAGCUGCCGGGAAAGGAUGGCCUCUCCUUGGAAGCUAUUGCCAGAGGAAGGGCUCGCGACCCAUCAGCUUGAUGGUGAGGUAAUGGCUCACCAUGGCAAAGACGGGUAGCUGGUCUGAGAGGAUGAUCAGCCACACUGGGACUGAGACACGGCCCAGACUCCUACGGGAGGCAGCAGUGGGGAAUAUUGGACAAUGGGCGAAAGCCUGAUCCAGCCACGCCGCGUGUGUGAUGAAGGCCUUCGGGUCGUAAAGCACUGUGGAGGGGGAAGAAUGGGUAGUGGGAAUAAUACCUCAUUACAAUGACGGUACCCCUUUAGCAAGCACCGGCUAACUCCGUGCCAGCAGCCGCGGUAAUACGGAGGGUGCAAACGUUGCUCGGAAUCAUUGGGCGUAAAGCGCAUGUAGGCGGUACGUUAAGUCGAGUGUGAAAUCCCUGGGCUCAACCCAGGAAGUGCGCUCGAUACUGGCGAGCUAGAGUACGGGAGAGGGUAGCGGAAUUCCCGGUGUAGAGGUGAAAUUCGUAGAUAUCGGGAGGAACACCAGUGGCGAAGGCGGCUACCUGGACCGAUACUGACGUUGAGAUGCGAAAGCGUGGGUAGCAAACAGGAUUAGAUACCCUAGUAGUCC